GGGUAGUUACUGCACUGUUGAUUCUCCCGGAGAAGCUUGUUGUGCUGGCUUUCCAGAUAGGAAGUCAGUUCACAUUGCCAGGAGAGCUCGGGUCCUCACGGUUGCUACGGAAGGCUGUGGUUCUUUCCAGGGGAGCUCAGGCCCUUCCCUUCAUCAUCACUUCCUGGUUCCAGUGCAGGUCCUUAGCCUCACACAUCCUUCACCAUACGGGUAGAGACUUUCAGGAUUCCUGGCUUCCACCACUGACUUCUGGGCCUUCCCAGUGCAGAUCCUGGACACGGACUUGCCCGGCACAUUGUAGUGGACUCUAGGCCUCCUGUUGGAAUUGUGGAAGAUACUGCCAUGGGCUCGAGGUCCUCAGCUGGAUUCUUUGGGUCUCUAAUGAGUAGGCAGAUCUCUUGCACUUGUCUGCAUUUGACUUUUUGGGGUUAAUAUUAUAAAAUAUUCCUAUAAAUUACAUAUCCUGUAUUAAAUCUAUUUCCUUGGAAACCCUGACCACAACAAAGGAUAUAAAUCCCUUAGGUUCCAUUGUUCCCUGUUUCCUGCCUGCCACACCACCCUGCUGGCUACAGACUAAAACUACUACAAAUGCCCAGAACUCACAGAAAAAGUUUAGAACCGAGAGAAUCUCAUCCGUCUUGCUUUUGCUGUGGCCUCUGUAAGGACAGUGCCUGAUACAAGGACCAACUACUUGCUGUGUGAAGAGUCCUUUUCCUGGGGACAUUUGUUGAAAGCGGCUCCAGGAACUGGCUUGUGAAUUGGCUCCAGGAGCUGCAGCAAGUACCAAGAACAAUGAACAUCAGACUGUUUCAGUUGGAAACGUUACUGAGUCACAAGAUAAUCAACACUGACAGAUGUUGCAGGUCCAGUAGUAAACAAAUGAUUAUGGGGCAAACGUUUCUUUUCAAAAUGCAUCAGGCACAAAAUUUGCCAAGUUUCAAAGUAGAAGAGUAGCAAGGUCUGACUCUAGAGGCAUUGUUAAACCUUCUAACUCCCUGAGAGUGGAUAACAGGUGGAGUAGACAACAGAGGAUGCACAAAGCAGGAGAAGAAAAUUUGGAAAAUGAGAUGUCAAUAAGAACUUUGAAAAGGUCUGACAUGUUUCUUGUAAUCUAGAAAUCUAUGUGCAUUAUCAGGAUUUUAUGUGUUCUAGAGACACCAGCAAAGGACCCAAAUUCUUUUAACACUAUAUUGUUGUUUCUUAGACAUAAUAUUUGUACAUGAUUUGUGCAUAUAUGCAUCGUGCACUCAUCAAAUCAGGGUGAUAGGUGUUUUUGUCUCUUCAACAAUUAAUCAUCAUUAUUUCUUAGAAAUUUCAUUCUCUGCUAAUCAUUAUGAAAUGUAUCAGAUUGUUUAAACCAAUAGUUACCCUGCUGUGCCUAAGGAGAAUCCAGAGAAUGUAUCCAUUCUGUUUUCUUGUCUCCUAUUGAAUUUCUCUCCAUCCCCUUUAUGAGCUUCUCAGUCUCUAAUGACUACAAUUGCAUUUCAUUUUUCUGUAAGUUAGACUUGUCGGUUUCCAUAAAUGAGUGAGGACAUGUGGGGGUUAUCUCUCUAUGUUUGGCUUGUUACAUGUAAUAUAAUCACCAUCCAUGUAACUGCAAAUGAAGAAUUUCAUUAUUUUUAUGGCUAAAUAGUAUCUCAUUGUAUAAAUAUACCACACUUUAUAUUUAUCCACUUAAGUACAUUUGGAUUGAUUCUAUAUUUUGACUACUAUGAAUGAAUAUUGCUACAAUAAACAUAGGAAUGUAAGUCUUUUUUGGUAUAAUAAUUUCAUCUCCUUUAGAAUAGUACCAAGCAGUAAAAUUUCUGGAUCAUAUGAUAGUUGUAUUUUUAGUUUUUUGAGGAAUUUCCAUACUUUUUUCCAUAAUAGCUGUACUACUUUACAUUUAUACCUGUACUAUAAAAAAGUUUCCUUUUUUCCCAUCUUUACCAGCAUUUAUUUUUUCUUCUUUUAUAAUGGCCAUUCUCAUAGAGGUAAAAUGAUACUUCCUUAUGAUUUUGAUUUGUAUUUCUCUGAUGAUUACUGAAAUUGAGCAUUAUCCAUUUUUAUACCUUCCCUUGUGAAUAUACCUUUUGGUUUUUGAACAAUUUUUAAAUUGGACUGUUGGUUUUUUAUAUGUUUGUUUAUCUUGGUGUUCAGUUUUUUGAGUUUCUAGUGCAUUCAGGAUAGAAAUGUGUUGUUGAGUAUUUGAAAUGUUUCCAAAUAUUUCACCAGUUCUAUAGGUUUUCUCUUAAUGCUGUUAUUUCUAUUGCUGUACUGAAAUUGUUUAACUUGAUAUAAUGCCAUUUACUUGUUCUUUAGUUCCCUAUUCUUAGGAUUCUGUAUAAAAAAAUUGUUGCCUACAUCAAUGUCUUGAAGUGUUUUCCCUGUUUUCUUACAAUUGCAUUGUUAACAUUUAAGUCUUUGACCCAUUUUGAGUUGGUUUUUGUACAUAAUGGGAAGCACAAAUUCAGUUUCAUUCUUCUAUGUAUGCAUAUUCAGUUUUUUCAAUACUAUUUGUUUAUCCACUGAAUGUUGUUGGCACCUUUUUAAAACAAUCCCUCACCUGUAUGAAUGUAGAAUAAUUUCUGAGUUCUUUUA